UACGGAGGGUGCGAGCGUUGUCCGGAUUUACUGGGUUUAAAGGGUGCGUAGGCGGCUUGAUAAGUCAGUGGUGAAAUACUCGGGCUCAACCGGAGGGGUGCCAUUGAUACUGUCAAGCUUGAGUAUACACGAGGUUGGAGGAAUUUGUGGUGUAGCGGUGAAAUGCAUAGAUACCACAAGGAACACCGAUUGCGAAGGCAUCUGACUAGAGUAUAACUGACGCUGAGGCACGAAAGUGCGGGGAUCAAACAGG
rnacentral:rRNA from 1 species